CUCCGGUCCCUUCCCACGCUGUGGGAGCUUUGUUCUUUCUCUGUUUGCAAUAAAUCUUGCUGCUGCUCACUCUUUGGGUCCCCAGUGCCCUUAUGAGCUGUAACACUCACCGCGAAGGUUUGCAGUUUCACUCCUGAAGCCAGCGAGACCACGAACCCUCCGGGAGGAACGAACAACUCCGGACACGCCGCCUUUAAGAACUGUAACACUCACCGCGAGCGUCCGCAGCUUCAUUCUUGAAGUCAGUGAGACCAAGAACCCACAAUUCCGGACACAGUAGGAGCCAGUGUUACAAAAAACAAAAGCAGAACCAAUUUCCUGCCUUCAAGGAACAUGAAGUCACUGAAUCCCAUCAUCUUUAUUGAGAGACAUUCCUUUGGAAAGAAUACUUCCAAUCAUUCUAUCAAAAAUCUUAUACUUGAAGAGAAGCCCUGCUGGAAUGGUGAGUAAGGAUUUUUGAAAAUCUGAUUCCUCCAUAUCAUUGUAAAACUUGUCAAAAUCAACGUUUCAGAACUCUGGAAAUUAAUGAAAGGCUUACAACAAUCCAAGACUUUUUUUUUUUUUUUUUUUUUUUGUAGCUGAAUCUCUAAGAACAGUGAGCUCCUUGGCAUUUUAACUUGCUCAGUUCCCAUCUCCCUCUCCUCAUCUCUUUAUUAGGCUUGGAAUUGAACAGGCUUGCAAGCACAGUAGCUGUAAAAACAAUCAGAUUAGCAGCCAUGAAAAGGGGUAAGACGACUUUGGAAUAUCUCCAAACUUCAUCCCCAAAGAAUUGUCACUACUUGACCUAUCUAGCAGCAUCCUGGAGGAGACCCUCUAAAAUACAGUACUGUAUUAUAUUUACCAGGACGUGUCUUUACUUGACCUUACCCAGAGCCACUUGAGGUUAGCAAGAGGUUGAAAAAAAACAAACCACCACA
rnacentral:lncRNA from 10 species